rnacentral:rRNA from 1 species
AUUGAACGCUGGCGGCAGGCUUAACACAUGCAAGUCGAGCGGUAACAGAGAGAAGCUUGCUUCUCUGCUGACGAGCGGCGGACGGGUGAGUAAUGCCUAGGAAUCUGCCUAGUAGUGGGGGAUAACUUGCCGAAAGGUAAGCUAAUACCGCAUACGCCCUCCGGGAGAAAGGAGGGGACCUUCGGGCCUUUCGCUAUUAGAUGAGCCUAGGUCGGAUUAGUUAGUUGGUGAGGUAAUGGCUCACCAAGACCGCGAUCCGUAACUGGUCUGAGAGGAUGAUCAGUCACACUGGAACUGAGACACGGUCCAGACUCCUACGGGAGGCAGCAGUGGGGAAUAUUGGACAAUGGGGGGAACCCUGAUCCAGCCAUGCCGCGUGUGUGAAGAAGGUCUUAGGAUUGUAAAGCACUUUAAGUUGGGAAGAAGAGCAGUUAACUAAUAUUUGACUGUUUUGACGUUACCGACAGAAUAAGCACCGGCUAACUUCGUG